GAGAGAGACAGAGACGGUGCGACGCGAGAAAGGAGGCGAGCCGUCACAUCACCGUCGCCGAGUUGCGCGCCGUCACCGCCGCGUGCUCCGUCGCCGCUGUUGGAGGAGGAUGGCCGAGCCUCUGUUGCUGGAAAACGGCGCUGCCGUAGUUGAGGGCCACUGCCGUUGCUGUCAGUAGAGACUCGGGCCGCCGCCGUCACUUGAGGUAGCCGCCAGAGCUGCUACCGCUCCGUUACCUCAUUUCUUUUUAGACACAAUUUGGUGUUGC